rnacentral:lncRNA from 11 species
GCUGAAUGUGCAAUGACUGACCAGCAAUGCUCUUUGCUAUGAAGAACUGUGAGCACAAAACGGGAAGCUCCCUCCUUGCACAAAAAUCUUCUCGGCACGAAAUCCUGCUUUUGUGUGCAGCUGAACUUGCCUCCUUGCCUUGGAAAGAGAGUACAUGUGGUGUGGUGUGCAGGCAGGCCUAGAGGUUAGCUGCAGGUGAGCUGAACAUCUCUUACUCUGAAACAGCAGGUGCCAGGUAA